rnacentral:rRNA from 1 species
GUAGGUGGCAAGCGUUGUCCGGGAAUUAUUGGGCGUAAAGCGCGCGCAGGCGGUUCUUUAAGUCUGAUGUGAAAGCCCACGGGCUCAACCGUGGAGGGUCAUUGGAAACUGGAGAACUUGAGUACAGAAGAGGAAAGCGGAAUUCCACGUGUAGCGGUGAAAUGCGUAGAGACGUGGAGGAACACCAGUGGCGAAGGCGGCUUUCUGGUCUGUAACUGACGCUGAGGCGCGAAAGCGUGGGGAGCAAACAGGAUUAGAUACCCUGGUAGUCCACGCCGUAAACGAUGAGUGCUAAGUGUUAGGGGGUUUCCGCCCCUUAGUGCUGCAGCUAACGCAUUAAGCACUCCGCCUGGGGAGUACGGCCGCAAAGGCUG